GGAAAUUCAGACACAGAGGCACACACACACACGGAGAACACCACGUGCAGAAGAAGGCAGGGAUAGGGGUGAUCUGUGAGCCAAGGAAUGCCAGAGAUUGCCAGCAAACCACAGAAGCUAGAAGAAAAGCAAGGAACGUAUUCCAGUUUACAGCCCUCUGCGGGAAACAAUCUCACCAACAUCUUGAUCUUGAAGACUUCCAGCCUCCAGAACUGUGGCACUAAAGCAUAAAGGAAAGGAACCAUUCCCAGACUCCUAGGUUGGCAGGGAUUGUGAAUGGACAUUUCAGCCACCCUCUUUUGUGGCAGUGCACAGCUUUACCCAAGAAUGCUCACCUGGCAAAGAGAUGUUACAAGAUGCAUAAAAUAUUCUACAGAUUUCCAGUUCCCCAGCACCUGGCACCAGCAGUUGAAGAACCCACUGAUUCCUCAGGAAUUUUCGGCUUUGAAGAUUGAAGUGAAAGGUGAGUCAAUGCUGUCUGAGACUGAAUAGGGCAGUGCAAAGCUUUGUGAUGAUGUGGGAGCUGGUGCUGCCGACUUGCCCUCAGAAGGAUGAAAUCCAAUCAGUCUCCCUCUAUUACUCACAUGGCAUUUGUGAAAUAAAGUCGGUGGCUAGGAAAAUUACUGGAUGAACCGUACACAUUGAUAGAAUUCACUGAACAGAGCGAGCACACUCUGCUGAAGGUAGUGCAACCACUUGACCACACUGCCCAAGCACUUAAGUGAAUGCUGCUUACACCUCUGGUUAAUCAGCCAUUAGGAAAACCAACCCUGAGAACACCAGCAGCAUCUGGAAAAGCAACAAAUUCAUAUAUUCCGAAGUCUUCCAGAGCAUCUUCAUGGCCUGAAAUGUAAAACAAAUACUACUUACAAAUCAAAUACCUCCAUUUGCUAUUGUAGUUUUUUUUUUAAGACUUUGUAAAACUUACCGUUAUUGUUUGUUUCAAGUGAUAUGUGUAUAAAACCAAUUUAACAUUUACUAAUUCCCUGUGGUCAUAUUGUCAACUAAGCAGUGUUGGAAAUCACUCAUUCUGAAGCUGAGAACUGGAAUUGAAUUGGGACAAUUAUUCUUAAAGCCUGAUGUGGGAAUGGUGUAUCAUAUAGUCAAAUAAACGCACGUGGGCAGUUUUGUCCUUUGUAACUAACUCAGAGAGUUAGCACACCAAGGCUUCAGCCUGGGAAUCACAGCAUCUCUUAGUCUACACAUAGUAUUUAUUACACCCUGUCAGAUCUAAAAUAGAGACCACCAGAACUACUAAUAUCAAUGUAUAAUGUAUAUUAUUCAUUUUAAAUUAUUAUAUAUAAUGUACUAUUGUAGCUGCCCAUAUGUACAAAAUAUAAUGCAGUGUAAUAUCAACAUCACCCAAACUAUCAUCUGUAAAAUGAUGGGAGUGGGGUGGUUGGGAGGAACCAGAUGGUCUCUGGGGCUUGAUAAGAGGAUGCAGACCCACAUUCACUAAGCAUCCUGGCAUAUUAGGCACUCCACCUACAUCAUUGUAUUUAAUUCUCCUCGUGGCCCUGGUGGAGGGAGGGGGCAGUAAUUGCCUCCAUUAUAUAGAUGAGGAAAAUUGAGGUCAGAAAAAAUUAGUUAAUUUUCCCAAGGUGACAUUGGGAAAAAGUGGCAUACAGGGCACUGAAACCCAGCAUCAUGUGACUCCAAGGCCUGGAGGGUAGCCCCAUUCUUAAUUUAUAACAACUCAGUAGGGAAUCAAUAGUGAAGGGCAAUAAGGGGGCCAGCUGGGGACAAAGAAGCAGCAAACCUGCCAAACCUCCCUGCCCACUGCUCCUGGGGAGGGAGCUGCCAGCAUUGUCCCUGCUUUAGGAAUGAAUGAAGUGAGAGGGUCUUGGGCAUUUUCAAAAUAAUAAAAGGAUCAAUAAAUUAGGAUUCAGAAGAACUCAGUGAUGGUGGGCAAGUGACUUAAUCUCUGAGCCUUGGUUCUCUAGCCUAUAAAAUGGAGUUCAGUGCCUUUCAGGUUUAUUUUACAGAUUUGUAUGACUUACAGUAAAACCAAUUCAAGGGAUAGCACUUUGUAAAAUGAGGGCACUAUUCAAAGUUAAGGGAUUGUUUGCAUUAUAGCAGUUCAUACCUUAUAUGAAUUAUAUUACAUCAAUAGUACAUUAUAUAUAAUAAUUAAAAUGAGCAAUAUUAAUUAAUAUACAUUAACAUUACAUUAGUCCCUUUCAGCAUAGCCAUUACCUGAAAAUGUUUGAGCUUUCCUGUAUUCUGUUUCUGGUCUGAAAAGACAAAGAGGCAUUUCUGUUACUGAUAAUAACCGAGGAAAAGGCGUUCAAGAAAAAAUUAUAUUUGUAGAAAUGUAUGUAUUACCUGCCUUCUAGCUUCUGUUUUAUAACUAAAACCAAGAGGAAAAAAAACACAGUAAGGUAAUUUUUAGCACAUAUAUAAAACCAUUUGUAAAUUUUCUUUCUAACUUUAACCUACCUUUAUAGGGUUGAUAUUUUUUCCAUAGGAAGAGAAGACACAUGGAUAUAAUUAAAAAGAGUGAUAUUCCGGUUAUACUUGCUAAAGGGGACAAUGAUUUCCCCUUUUGUGCAAGCUUCUCGAGUCCUAAAUAAAAAGACAUAUUUUAAAUAUUUUUAUUAAAGAUCAAUAACAAGUUA